rnacentral:rRNA from 1 species
UGGGGAAUAUUGGACAAUGGGCGCAAGCCUGAUCCAGCCAUGCCGCGUGAGUGAUGAAGGCCCUAGGGUUGUAAAGCUCUUUCACCGGUGAAGAUAAUGACGGUAACCGGAGAAGAAGCCCCGGCUAACUUCGUGCCAGCAGCCGCGGUAAUACGAUGGGGGCUAGCGCUGUUCGGAAUUACUGGGCGUAAAGCGCACGUAGGCGGAUAUUUAAGUCAGGGGUGAAAUCCCAGAGCUCAACUCUGGAACUGCCUUUGAUACUGGGUAUCUGGAGUAUGGAAGAGGUAAGUGGAAUUCCGAGUGUAGAGGUGAAAUUCGUAGAUAUUCGGAGGAACACCAGUGGCGAAGGCGGCUUACUGGUCCAUUACUGACGCUGAGGUGCGAAAGCGUGGGGAGCAAACAGG